rnacentral:rRNA from 1 species
GGGGGGGGGGGGGGGGGGGGUUGGCGCGGGCGGGGCGGGCGGGGCGGCCUCUUUCGGGGGGUACUCGAGGGGCGAACGGGUGAGUAACCCGUGCGUAACCUGCCCUGGCCUUUGGGCUCACUUCCGGAAACUGGGGCUCAUCCCGGAUCGGCGCUCCUGCUGCCUGGUGGGGUUUGGCACGUUUCGGCGGUUGGGGAUGGACUCGGGGCUUAGCCGCUUGUUGGUGGGGUAGUGGCUUACCAAGGCUUUGACGGGUAGCCUGCGUGCGAGGGGGACCGGCCACAUUGGGACUGAGAUACGGCCCAGACUCCUACGGGAGGCAGCAGUGGGGAAGAUUGCACAAUGGGUGGAAGCCUGAUGCAGCAACGCCGUGUGCGGGAUGACGGCCUUCGGGUUGUAAACCGCUUUCGCUCAUGACGAAGCUUUGUGUGACGGUAGUGGGUAAAGAAGCACCGGCUAACUACGUG